rnacentral:lncRNA from 1 species
CAGUUUCGAGAACUUAUCGAUAGCAAUCUGAAAGGAAAUUUCACUGAACUGAGGCGGCUAUUCUUGGGAAGAUCGCAUUACGUUGCACCAGUGAAUUGCCCGAUAAUAGACCCACUAUUUUCAGAGUGAUUGAGGAACUAAAUGAUUGGUGCGUCAAAUGUCGAUGAUUGUACAUAGCGAAUUGUCCGAAGUUGCAUCCAUGGAAGCACCAAUUUAACUCAAUGAGCUAUCAAGCUCAGCGGUGACAGUGCAACGAUGUAUGAUGAUCCCUGAAGAAUUAACAGAGUAAUCUUGUCCUAUUGUAUAACAGAUUAGCUUUAGCUCAUUUGUACUUUGUCUGAUCACUUGAAUCAUUAUCAUUUUCGUUUCCCUUUGCCAUAUAAUGAUAUGAUUUACUUGUAAGUCGUUACUAUUUGAGUUGGUAUCCUGAAUUUUAUAAGCUCAGCAAUAUAAACAUAUCCAAAUUGUCGUAUUCACGAUAAGUUCAGCAGAUUCCAUCACCAGAAACCAACAUAUAAUUUGGUCUAAAGAAAUAUAUACAUCUUUCUUUAAUUGUAUGGUCAUCACCUUCUCUUUUUCAAGUUUCAUUCUUGUGCAAGCAUAUUUGAUUGUUACAACAUGAUGCGGAAGCUAUCCAGAUCUUGUAAUUAAAUUAGCACGAAAUAACCAAGGAAAUAAACGAAGAACAAUCAAAAGAUAUGAGAGAUUUACAUGAUUUGAUUCAAAUCUAGAUUAAGCUUAGAAAAAAAAAUUAAAACAGAGAAUUUUUUUGUCGUUUACCAAACGUGUUUCUGUUCUUUUUCUAUUCUAGGAACAGAAAUUGACUCCAGUUACCAAACGUGUUUCUGUUCUUUUUUUAUUCCAAGAACAGUUUUUUUUUACACUUACCAAACGCGUUCUUUUGUUCAAAAACUGUUCCCCGAAACAGAAACACUUUUUUUUAUUUCUGUUCCCAGGAACAAAAAAAGAACAUAAGUGUUUCCAUGCGCACCCUUAGUCUCUCAUACCAAGCUCGAGAUAUCUGUUUCAUACCAUACAAAGCCUUCUUCAAUCUAUAGACAAAGUCUGGUUUUCUGGGAUCUUCGAAUUUUAACAGUUGUUCUACAUAGACUUCUUCUUGUAUGAACCCAUUUAGGAAAGUACUCUUGACAUCCAUGUGGAAUAACCUGAAAUUAUGGAACAUGCAUAUUCAAGCAAUAGUCUAAUGCCUUCAACCUAGCUACAGGUGCAUAUGUUUCAUCAUAGUCUAUUCUUUCCUCUUGCUUAUAACCUUUUGCAAUAAGCCUUACUUUGUUCUUAGUUACUUUACCAUUUUCAUCCAUCUGGUUUUUGAACACCUACUUUGUUCUAAUCAUAGAUUUUCCUUUUGGUUUUGGAACUAACUCACAGACAUCAUUAAUACUGAAUUUUCUGAGUACUUCCUGCAUUGCUUCUAUCCAGACUUCGUCAAAUAAAACUUCUUCUACUCAUUUUGGUUCUAUUUCAGAAAUAAGAGUUAGGGCACUUGAGUCUCCUUUUACUUUGAAUCCGGUACGGAUUCUUUCUUCUAUAUUGUGAAUAAUAAGCUCUUUAGGAUGGCUUGAUUUGUGCUUCCAAUUACUCUUAGAUUUAUCACUUUCUGCAUGGGUUUGCUGAACGUCAGUUUUCUUUGAUUCUUCUGACUUUUCUUCUACUUGACUUUGAUCACCAGAAGACUGAGAAUCCUCGGGGGAUUCAGAAUUUAUUAAGUCUAAAACUAGUUCAAACUCUUCAAGUUGUCUAAAACUAGUUCAAACUCUUCAAGUUGAGUCCGAUCUUGUUGAUUCCGACACUUUCUUGAAAUCUGACACUCAUGGAUCUUCAACAAUUUGUGUAUUCUUGUUGAAGACCCUAUAAGCUUUGCUUGAAGUAAAGUAGCCAAGAAAUAUACCUUCAUCUGAUCUUUCUUCAAAUUUUCUAGGCCGAUCAUUUCCAUUCUUCAAAAUGAAGCACUUGUAACCAAACACAUGAAAAUAAGUGAUAUUUGGCUUUUUUUUCCUUUGUAAACUUCAUAGGGGUAAACUUUAAAAAUACUCUGUUAAUUAUAUAACAAGCAGCUAAAACUACCUUUUCCCAAAAAUGAGAAGAGACUCUACUUUCUAUUAGCAUAAUUUUGGCUAUCUCCUGUAGUGAUCUAUUUUCCUUUCUACAACUCCAUUUUGCUCUGGAGUGUAUGAUGACGAAAAAACACGUUGAAGACCAUUCUCAUCACAAAAGUAUGCAAAUUCUUGAUUAGCAAAUUCUCCCCCAUAAUCAAUCCUUAUGCUUGAAAUUGUAUAACCUUUCUCAUUCUGAGCCUUCUUAGCAAACUUUGAAAAAUAUAAGAAGGUUUUCGUUUUAUUUGCCAAGAAGAAACCCACAUGAAUCUUGAAUAAUCAUCCACAAGUACCAAGCAGUAUUUCUUACCACCAAUGCUUUGAGUUCUAGUUGAUCCAAAAAGAUCCAUGUGAAGAAGUUGCAAGACACGAUUAGUAGAAACUCGAUUUAUAGGUUUAAAUGAGCUUCUGACUUGUUUUCCCAAUAUACAUGAGUACAAAACUCGGACUUCUGGUACACCAUUCUGGGAAGAUUUUGAACCUGCUUCUUAGACGAAAGUUUAGCAAUCCGUUUCAUAUUCACAUGUCCAAGCUUGCGAUGCUAGAGAUAUGCUUCAUCUUGAAUUGAGAUAAGACAUUGAGAGCUCUCUGGACUUAUGUUUAGGAGAUAAAUAUUACCAUGUCUUCACCCAAUGAAAGAUUGAGAGAAGUCUCAACUAACUCCAGAACAAGCAUCUUCUUUGAAAUUGAUUAUGAAUCCUGUAUCACAUAGCUGGCUUAUGCUCAAAAGAUUGUAAUUUAAACCUUUCACCAAAGAAACAUUAUUAAUGAUCAAACUUCCAAUCCUCACUGUUCCAUGUCUAAUAAUUUUUCCUUUGAUGUUCCUACCAAAUGAAACAUUUCCUCCUUUUUGCUUUUUUAAUUUUACAAAAUUGCUCGAGUCUCAAGUCAUAUGUCUAGAACAGCCACUAUCCAAAUACCAUUUGCUUUUCCUUUUAAUAGUAACCUACAAUAAAAACAAAUCUCAAACUUUUUUUGGUACCCAAAUUUUCUUGGGUCUUGGCAAGUUAGUUUUAAAGACAUCAUUUGCCCAAUCCUUCUUAAUAGGUCUCCAAACUUUAGAACAUUCAUUCUCAAAAUGUUCUGAGCCGUUACACUUUGAACAUUUAAGAGCAUUCCGGCCAAUAAGUUUUACAAAAACUUUUUGAAAAUGACUUUUGUAAAAAGGUUUUGAAGGUCUUUAUCUAAGUCUCUCAUUGACUUUAGGAAAAUCAAUCAAAAGAGUAUUUUCUUCACUCAGACCAAAACCAAAUUUGUUAUAAUAGGGUAUUUGAGCUAAAAGGAUUUUCUCUAAAGUUUUUGAUCCUUUGGAGAACUUUGUAGUAAUAUCUAAAACCUCAUUUUUCAAACAUUCAUUUUCUUUUGAAAGAUAAUCAAUAUUUUCUUUCAAAUCAUCAAAAUCAUUUUUCAGAUUCUCAAACUUUUCUCUCCAAGAAUUAUCACGUUGCCUGAGUUUUAAAUUUUCCUUCUUUAAUUCGAAGAUCCUCUUAAAAGAAGAUUUAAGGUUUAAGCAAAGUUCACCUAUAUAGUUAGAAACUUUAAUAGGAAUUUCUGAAUGACUUACCUCGAUUUCCUUGUCAGAUUCUAAGUCUGUGUCUGAGUCUGACUUUGAUUCUGAGUCUGAUUCUAAGUGAGCCAUCAAGCAAAUAUUUGUAAACUCCUCUUCACUUUCCUCACAUUCUAUGUCACUUUAGGUUUAUGCUUUUAGAGCUUUCUUGUAUUUUUCAUACUUUCCUUUCUUCUGAAAAACAAGGGACAGUUAGGCUUGAUGUGUCCCUUCUUCUUGCACUUAAAGCAUAUCACAUCUUUACUAGUUUCAGCAUCUUCCAUCAAUCUUUUCUGAAAAUCUUGCUUGCUUUGCUUUUUCCAGUUCAUUCUUCUUCAUUUCCUAUUUAGUUUCCUAAAUUUCUUUAUCAUAAGAGUCAGCUCCUCAUCGUCCAUAUCAUCAUUUGUCUCUGUAUCAUCAUAAUCAACAUUAGACUUGAGCACAAUUAACUUCUUACCUUUUGGAUCCUCUUCAUUACUGAUCCGUUUCACUUCAUACAAUUGAAGAGUGCCUAUCAGCUCGUCAAUAGAAAGAGGCAUGAUUCUUUGUGUUUCCCGAAUUGAUGUUUUCACGUGGUUUCAAUCCUUUGAAAGUCCUCGUAGAAGUUUGUUGACCUUCAUUGGAGCAGAAAUUGGUUGACCUUGAUAUGCCAACUCAUUUACAAUUUCUAUAAAUCGACUGAACAUGUCUCCAAUAGAUUAUAUAGGCUUCAUUUUGAAGGAUUCAUAUUGACUAAGUAAGAUAUUUAUUUUUGUCUCCUUUACAUGAUAUGUUCCUUCAUAGGUGACGUGAAAUCUAUCCCAAACUUCUUUAGCUGUUUAACAUGAAGAAAUUAUGUUAUAUUCAGCUGGAGACAAGGCAUAGUAUAAAUAAUAUAUGGCUUUUGCAUCAAGAGCCUAUCUCUUGGUAAUUUCUGCUUGGUUGGAUUACUCAGUAUCCUUAUCUAAGACUUCUUUUCCCUUGUCUAAAGCUAAAGUUGCCUUCGGGUUGAUUCCUCUUUCUACAACAUCCCAUUCCAAAGGAUCUCUAGAUCUCAAGAAUGCCUUCAUCUUAUUCUUCCAUACAAUGUAUUCUUUUCCAUCAAAAUAAGGUGGCUUGGUAUUACUCUGCCCCUCCACGAGUCUUGGUGCUAAACAACUAGCCAUAUAAGAUCUUUAACUCAAAAGUGUAAACACUUCAAUCGAAGAGCACAAAGCUCUAAUACCAAUUGAAAAUGCUAGUACUAAUACCUAGAGGAGGUGAAUAGAUGUUUGAAAAAAAACCUUGACAAAUAAAUGGGAAAUAAAAUAAGUUGUAAACAAAGUCUGAAAAAGGAUCAAAGUCUGAUUAAACGAGCUAUCAGAUUUCUGGUGCAAAAUUCAGAAUUAGAUAAGAGAUGGACUAGCUUUUUGCGAAACUUAAAAUGUUGCAUCAAAUAUAGUUGAAAAGAGUUAAGGAAAAAGAGAGUUGCACACAAGACUUAUAGUGGUUUGGCUUAGAUCAAGCCUACGUCCACUCUCCCACGCUGACAACUUUCUGGCUAAAAUUCACUAAACUAUCAAUAGAGAAGUACAAUAUUUCGAGUGCAAACACUCAGUGGAAGAUUUCUUUUUCCCACACUAAGUCAGUCUUUUUUCUCUUGAAUACAAUUUGUAAGAGCUAUUGUUGAAGAACAAGUGGUUGGAAAGGCUUCAAACUUUGGAAUUUCAAUUUUCACGCACACUCAAAUAGACUGAAAGACCUCCUUAAAUACUCGUCUACACCUUACUAGCCAUGGACAUUAUCCAGAGGAAUUUCUUGCAAUCAAUCCGUUAGACAAAAUUGAUUAAUGAAAUCUUGUAGCCGUUUAAAGAUUGAGUUGAAAAUCAAUUGAUUUUGGUCACACAUACUAUCAUAAUCUAGGUUUCCAUAAGUAGAUGCUUCCCAAAAAGGAACUUGUCUUCAAGAUUGAUUUUGUGACAUCCCGAAAUUUCGAAAAAAGAAAUUAUCGGAUGAAAAAUCGGAGAUUGGAAGAAAAAGAAAUAUGAUACCAAUAUUACUAUUAUUAUUUUUCUUUCUUCUCUCUCUCCUCUUUCUCCUCUCCUUCCCCCAACGUCCGCCCCACUCCCCACGUAUCUCUCUCUCCCUCACGUUUUUUCUCCCCCCUCAUUCCUACACAAUUUCUUCCCCCUCUCUUUUCUUCUCUUUCUCCCACUUUUCCACCCCCUCACUCACGCCAACCCCUCUGCAGCACUUUCCCCUCAACUUCCUCCCAUUUCUUUAUUGUUUCUCUCUCCUCUUUCCCCUUUCCUCCCUCUCAACAAACCCCCUCCCCUCUUCCUUUUCUCUUUCUCUCUUGAGUUUCUUUUCUGCUUUUGCUUCCAAAACAGCACCGUGUGCUACUGUUUUUGCCCCAAGCCAGCCACCAUCUUGCGCCAUGGCCAUGGGCCAUCACUGUCCACAAGUCGCCAUCCGCCGCCGAAGAGCAGCACCACCCAUCCGCGAGCUGUCGGCCCGCCGUUCUUGCCAAAUCAGAAACCACCUCCACCGAGACCCACUUUUGCCGAGCGCCUCCGUGAUAUUUUGGACAUAACUGUGCAUAGCCCUCACCACAGCCAUCGUGCUCAUGUCAUCGGAAUUGUCGUCGGGUGAGUUUAGCUCCUAAUCCUUUUAUUAGUGCCUAAACUUGCUUAGGAGGUUGAUUAGGUUUAAGAUUGGUUUAUGUUGGCUUAAAUAGAGACUAGUGAUGAUCUAUAAUGGUUAGAUUAGUAUUAUAAUGGGUUAAUAUUAGUCAAAUUAAGGAGAUUUGCAUCGUUGGGGAUGAUUUGGGUGAAAACAGAAGCUGUUCGUCAGAACUGGUUCCGGGACGUCUGCUGUUUGCAAUUUUUGUAGAUUGAAAUCGGUCGCGAAUAUGAAGCCGACGUCUUCUAGAGAAAUGUUUUAACCAUCCUAAGCUAAAACAUAUAUUUUUAUCAAGAUUUUUAGGGAUUCAGAAGCAGGAGAUAUUAGCUCCGCCAUUUUCGAACAGAACUGCAAUUUUCGCUGGAACUGGUGGCCUUUUAGGAUUUUAGUGGUUUUUAUCGACUCUUGGAGUUCGAAUUUUAAAAUGAUUUCUUCACAAAAGUUGUUUUUCACCUCUUAUAGUUUAACAUACUCAAAUUUCAAAUCAAACGGACAUGUUUAAGACCUCGAACCAAACUGAUUUCAUAAAACUGACUUUCUGAGAACGGACCUAAUUUUGGUGCUGGAUUGAGUGAUUUACUAGGCCUAAUCCAGAAGGAUCUGGGUCUCAGUGUCUUCAUAAAAAAAAAAUUGUUUACGUGUCCUUUGUCACAUUCAAAUUUGGAAAUUUUCCGAGCUUGAUUGGUUAGGUUUUUGGAUUAAAAUUUGGAGAGGCGCGAAGGCAUAGUUUCUGCUAAUUAGGACUAAUGUUAGUUUGGUGAUGGUUCUUGAUACUUUAAUUAAUGUUUUUAAUGACUUGUGGAUUUAAUUGAUUAGUUAGUUAAUUCUGAAAUUUCACUAUUCAUGACGCACUAUUCACGCGACACUGUUCACGCGCACUGUUCACUUGCAUUGUUCACCCGAGAAUGAAAAGCGGUCUAAUUAUAUGUGUAUUGAUUCUAUGAAGUGAAUGGAUGUGUAAAUGCAUGGGCAUCCGCAUGAAUUGGGUGAUGUUUUGUGCAAUUGUAUGGUAAUUGAAAACUGUUGGCAUUUAAUUAGAAAAUACCGGGUGUCGGGUUUUGGACGCCGAAAGUGUUUUUAAAUACUAUACCAAACUGUGGGGUUUUAAAAGAAAUGACACAAAUUUUUGAUUCGAUCUGACCGUGUCCCCACACACGAUUAUUUUAUCAUGCAUUUCUAAUAUGAAGAAAUUAGGUCGGUAUCAAUUAAAGCGCAAUGCACGGUGUCCUGGGCCGAAAUUGAAUGAAUGCAUGAAUGAUAUGAGAUGCCGUCACGAGCCUUUAGGACCGGACAAUGCUCCUUCGGGAAUGCCCCAAGUCAACGGAUGCCGGUCACAAUGGAUGCUGGGCCGAUACUCCUUCAGGAAUGCCCCACGUCAACGAAUGCCGGUCGCAGUGGAGGCUGGACCGAUGCUCCUAUAUGGAAUGCUGUCUAGAUGUAGACGUUGUCGUGCUCGAUGGUGCGAAACGAUGUACGGUUAUACUGGAAGACUGUUAUCUGUUGCAUUGACUGGAAUCCAUGUGAUUGAUCGAUGUGUGCUAUGUGGCGCACUAAUGUGCAAGAACGCACGAGAAUCAUGGCAUCUUUAGUUCUAGUCAUGCAUGAGUUGAGCACACUGUGUAUGGCAUGCACGCAUGAACCGAUAACGCAUUUCACACAUGCUUCCGUUGUGCUGAGAACAAAGCCUUGAGGAGUAGCCCGAUUGGGAUGGCGAUUCGGCCAUGCUAGUGCGGGGCCCAAGGAGGCAAUAUUGGGCUGGGAUGAGGGAUGGCCGUUCGUCUACGCCUCUACCCCAGACAACGUGUUCUUGUGGCAAUGGCCAGGUGAGAUCGCUUGUAACACAAUUUGUAUGUGAUUGAUGAACUGCAUUAUCUAAUGGCCAUGUGCAUUGCGUAUAUUGUGCUGAGUUAUGAUGUGCAGGGUAUGGCAUACCAUGUAAGGUUGCAUGCGAACCGACUAUUAAUUGUUGAUUGUUAAUCUUUGGUUUAUUUGUAGGAUGGUUCUGAAGAGAUGCUCCGAGUUGAGUUGGUGUACUAAUCGGGAGACUAAGGGAAGAACUCGCUGAGAUUUACAUCUCACUAGUUAUUGAAUAACCAUUUUCAAGUCCCCAUUAUGAAGAACCCAGAGCUUGAAGCAGAAGGGUCAGGAGCAUAGGUGGCUCAGUAGUCUUUUAUGAGAUAGACCUUUUGUACAAGCUUAAGGUGUUUAUGAAAGUGUAUUUGAUUUGAAAUUGGUUGUCCUACUUUUCUAUCCCAUGUUUGUUGUUGUUAGGGAAUUAGUUAAUCGCUUUCGCAUGUGCAAUAAAAUGAAAAGGGUCGGCGACGAGUCUUGGGAAUGUUGCAAACUUCUAUCGACCACCGAGGGAUGCGCGUGCACUUGAGGUUCGAGGCAUGAUAGAUUUCAUCAAUUUGUGAUUGAUUCCAUCAAUGUAUUUAUAAAGGGUGAGUGAGAUUCUUCACCAGAAAGCCAAAUAUUAAAGAAUAAAUCUCUAUAACGUUCAUACUGAAUCCUUGUCAUAAGAUCAAUAAUUUCGAGUCUGAUUAUAUUUUCGUUCUGAACUUGGUUUUAGUUUGGAUUGUGUCAGAGUGGGAAAGAUUUCUAGAAUGAAUAGACUUUGACAAGAGUCUGCAAUAUGACUUUAGAAGUCUACUAUUCUUCAGAAUAAAAACAAUAACAAGAAAGUUUUGUCAACUUCAAAACCUAGUAGGAUUUUUCUCAACGGCAGUCAUGCUAGAGGGGAUAGAAAUUCUGUUGGCUUAUGUGGAAACUUAUAGUGUGAUGUAAAAGGAAAAGAUGGCCCAUAGAGAAAAGGCUUAUAAAAGUACUGUUGUAAUAUAACCUAGUGUAUUCUGUGUGAUGUAUGUCCUAGUUUUAUAGCUGUUUCUUUGCCUGGGAAGUUGUUUGUUCACGUUUCCAUAUAUGCAUGAUAAUAAAAUAAAAAGAAUCGGGAUGGCAAUGAGGCUCAAACAUCGCAAAAAUAACCCCUACUAUUCAAAACCUUGGAGAUGGAGUUGGGAUCAUGACAGAAACUAUGUUUAGAUAAUGCAUACAUUCACUGUUGUGGAGUUCAUAGUUGACGUCAUUGCAGAGUAGUUGGUGUGUUGGAUAUAACGAGGCUUUUGGUUUACUUAGCGCGUCGAGGUUAUCUACCUUUUCUAGAAAUCAAUUUAUUGCUUUGGUUUGUUGAGUGUUAAAUUCUUGACCACAUACCCGUAUGAUUAACCAUCACAUGUUUGUGGCUUAGUACUAAAAUCAAUCAAGACUACUUGCAAAAUGUUUUAAAAUUUAAAAAAAAAAAAAAGUACCGGAAGAGCGUUAGAUUUAUCUAGCACCAAGUCCCCAUAUCCAUGAAUCUCUGAUUCAUUGAAGUAAAAUGUUCAUAAUUGACCUGGCAAAAUUAGAGGUGACCCCGAAUUGAUAAAUUAGAAACUCUAAAGUUGUGAUUUUGUCUGAGCUUGAAGAGUCCACACUGUCUAUUUAGUAAUUCAUUAGCGUUCUCUUAAUGUUCAUCCCUCGGAAAGUCACGAUAAUGCUGAAUUAAGUCAGGCUGGAUAGGGUUAGCUGGAAUCCACUCAAAUUUUGAGUCUGCGACGGGUUGGCACAGUUUUCUUAGCGGAUGAAAGAAAGGUCCAUCCAUACCCUAUUUCUCAUGACGGGUUUGAGACGGUCGUCGGGUACAAGUUCCUUUCAUAAAUAGCCUAAAGAAAUUAUGGAGGGCUUUUAAGAGGGUUUCAUUUCCUUCUUUUGGUAAAUCGACUUGGAUAGAAAGAGUUCAACUCUUCCUUUAUGGAUGCUUGCCGGCGGCUGAACCACAAGAAUCUUGAGUCUCUCUAAUUUUCUUGUCUUCCGCAUGUAAUAAGCUACGAUUGUGGAACACACAGAGGAGAACAUCAUAUUAUUUGUCUUUAUUCCAUUUGCGCUUUAUCUCGUUGAGUCUCUCUAAUUUUCUUGUCUUCCGCAUGUAAUAAGCUACGAUUGUGGAACACACAGAGGAGAACAUCAUAUUAUUUGUCUUUAUUCCAUUUGCGCUUUAUCUCGUUGAGUCUCUCUAAUUUUCUUGGCUUCCGCGUGUAAGUAAUAAGGUACGAUCGUGGAACACACAAAGAGGAGAACAUCAUAUUAUUUGUCUUUAUUCCAUUUGCGCUUUAUCUCUUUCACGAACGAACGAUGCUUGCAAAGCUGGCCAGGCAUAUGACUUUUAUCAUCUCUAUAAAAACCCUCAACCCGUAAGGUUGGUAACUAAGAAAAAAAGAAGAAAUCAUGCCCGUCGACGAUGAUAAAGUGAAGUCGGUCCCUUUUUCUCUUUCUUGUAGUGAGAACAGCUAGUCGCAAUACCAAAAAUAUACAUAUGUGUGUGUGUGUGUGUCGCUUUUAUCUUCCCAGAUUAAAUUGAUUUGAUAGAGAAGAAAGAACGUUUACUCAGCAUUUUACCCUUUGCCCUUAGGAUAAUGCUAAUUUUUUUUUUCCUGGUGAAGGAAGAAUUUUGACUAUGGAAAGCUGGAGAAGGCAGUGGAUGUCCAUCGGAAAGCACUGGACGACCUGGUGAGCAUGAACUCGCUCUUCACCGCCGCGGUCUUCGUGGGCCUGACGUUUGCGAGCUCUGAGGAAAAGAACAUAGAGGGGAACAACUAUGGCGAAGCAGGAAUUCGCGUGGCAAGAAGUAUGGUCAAGAACGAAGUGAUAUCGUUCGCCUGCUAUCUCCUGUCCAGCCUCGUGGCCAACGCCCUCAAGACCCACCUCUUCACCUACCUCAUCGACCCGUCCAAAGCCAAUAACAUCAAUGAUAAGUCGAGCAAGGCGCUGAGAUGGUCCAUGUUCGCUCUCUCCACGUCGACCUCCAUCAUCGGCCAAGUGUUCCUCUUGCUUUCCAUGAUCGACAUGAUUCAGCUCCGGCUUGGCAAGGUCACUGGCGAAUGUACCAAGACAUCAGGUGCUGUCGGUGUCCUGAUCGGGCUCAACUUCUUUGCAUGGCUCAUCUACGUACCCCUUGUCGCACAUGCCAUCAUUAAUUCCACAAGGAUCUUCAAGAACCUACAAAAUUCCGAACUAACGGCAGGUGCAAAAGAUCCCCCUUCCGAAGCAUCGGGCAACAGAUCCAUCUUCCAAACUAUCUUCAGGUGCAAAGAUCUAAUUUUGAAGCUGUUUCAUUACUUGUAUAACUGGCUACGCAGAACUGAUAGAUGAGUGUCGACUAAAGGGGGCUUUCUUUGCUUCCCUGGGUGUGAGUCAAUAUAUGUGUUUGUGUUUAUUUGUCAGCUUCUCUACGUUUACAGUCUCUGAAAUAAUAAGGAGAUGCAGAACCACUCUUGUCAGCACUAUCCUUAUUCUUAUCUACUUGUCAAUGGUAGCUCGGCAUGGUUAACAACAAUCUGGCACUGUCACCUGAAAUCGCAAUCCAAAAAGAAAUCCCGAGUCAACCAUCUAAUGACGACUUAUCAGAAGGUAACUUCUGUGAAUACUGAAAAGGCAAACGAAAUAAACAGCAUUUCUCCCACAUUUACAAUUGAAUAGCACUUCCGACGGAUCGAGAGUUUUUAUUGAGGCCGAACUCCUGGGGAUACUUGACAGAGAAAAGACCAAUCCCGCCUACCUCCAGAUCUUUACCAGCUAUAAAGCGAUUUCGGUGUCGCACUGAUUCUUCGCAGCUGAGUUGCUGCCACUAGUAAUUUCGUUCUUUCUGAUGACCUCUGUUUUUGUGCUGGAAUUUCGUUCCCGACUGACCGAGCAGGCCUCCUCAUCAAAUCUCUUGCUCCUCUCGACAUUCUCAUCCGCAAUAUCAGCCCGGUUUUUAUGGUCUUCUUUAUCUCCUCUGCACAAAAGCCAGACACGCAUGCAUAAUCAAUUUUACACACUAAACCAAUUUUACGAAGGCAUAUCAAAACCCAUCGAUGGACCACUUGCCCUACACAUGAAGAUAUUUUCUUUUAUCGAAAUUAAAGUAGAUACAAUCUAUUUUUAAUAGCAGAUAGCAGAGAACCAAAAAAGCCUUGAAAAUUAGGUUUAAAAGAUUUUAGAAACCUGCCAAAAGUACCCAGAAAAAACAGAGGGAAUAACGGGACAUUACUUAAAGUUGUAAAGCAAUCUCUACCGCUCUAACUGAUUUCCAAUGGAGAGGAAACUGAUUUACUUUUCUUGUGAGGUGAGGUUAUUAAGAGAUAUGAUUCCAAAAGUUGAACUGGUUGAACAAGCUACCAGUAGACAGACCAAAGUGGGUCUUUUAAAGAGCAAAAUGUGAGUGAAACCAAAUAAUAGCUCUGAAAAUCCGUUAGUUGCUCAACCUGAAUAAAUAACCAGACAGACUGCGAAAGCAGAAAAACCACCAAAGUACAUCCAGUCAACCCGUAAACAUAUUAAAAUCAAACGAAAAUCAACACAAAGGGGCAUAGAUGAGGUCUAAAUCCUAUUUCACGCCAAAUAUCCUGCAAAAAAACCUUCUCAUGGUAAGCGAAGAUGCAAAUGAAGACAGCCCACAUGUCUGAGGUCAAUAGAGACAGGUUGAGCAUUGUAGAUCCAUUUAUCUGUAAACAAAUAAAAAAAUUUAUUGCAUACAUUGUUUUUCAUUUAUCAAGAAAAUUAUUGUAAUUAUUUUUACAGGAUUAGUGGCUUGAUUAUAGAAACGGUUUAUUUAUACCUAGAGUCAAUAGAUGAUGUCCUCAAAGUAAGAACACUUGAUCUCUCAUUGAAACCAAACUCUUUGUUUUAUAUAAAAGUAACAAAUUGUUUUCGGUGUCCUUAUGAAAAUUGUUAUUAUCACCAAAACUCCAAAUUAGUACACCCUCACAUUUAUCAUAGACUAAUUUUUUUAUAACAAAAGCUCCCAAACUGAUACAACCUUAUCACAAUUACCCCAAAUUGGUAUAGCGGCGCCACAUUUACCCCAAACUAAUCUCAAAACGAUACAAUCAUACUACUUUUACCCUAAGUUAGUACAUUCAUGCCACAUUUAAACUAAAACUUAAAUUUACCACAAUUUAGGAUAAAUAUGAUGCCGGUAUAUCAAUUUGAGGUAAACAUGGAACGGAUAUAUCGAUUUAGGAUAAAUGUGGUACAAAAAUUAGUUUGGGGUAAAUAUGGUACUCGUGUACCAAUUUUAGAAUUUUUGUGACACAAAAAUUAGCCUGGGUAUUUUACCCAAAAAAAAAAAAAUUAGCCUGGGUAGAUGGGGCACAAGUGUACCAAUUUUAAGGUUUUUAGGAUUUUUUUAUGAUAUUAGUCCUAAUGAAAAAAGAGAAAACUUCAUAAAAAUAGAUCUAAUCCACUAACUCAAAUUAUCUCAAUAAUAGUCUUGAGUAUUUCUAAUUCAACAAAAAUAAUAUUUUCAUACUAAUAUGCCCCAAAAAAACCGAAUUUGAUAUGACAUAUGAGCAUGUGGCAAAAACCAACACGACUUGAAAUACCUUAUUGGUAUAGUGGCAUAACACGAAUUGAUAGUCCUAUUUCUAUAAGUCUAUUUUCAUACGAGUUUGUUUUCAAUUUCACACACAUAUUUAUAGCAAAAGCUAAUAAAAUAUUAAAUGAAGUAUGUUAAAAAUUUCGCUUCCCUAAAUGAAUCUCUCUCUACGUUAUCGCAUUUUCAAAUUUGAGAACUUGAGUUUGGACUCGAGUUUAACUAAAAGUAGGAAAAAGAUACGCAAAUGUCAUAACUUUGCACAACUCUCAAUUUAAGUGCCAUGACUUUUAUUUUAUCACUCAAAUGUCAUAACUUUGUACAACUCUCAAUUUAAGUGCCAUGACUUUUUUUUUAUCACUCAAAUGUCAUAACUUUUUUAAAUUGUUGUUCACUACAAUUGCUACGCCACAUUGGAUUUCUGGUAUUUGAGUGAAUAUUUUUAAAAAGUUAUGGCACUUAAAUCAAUGCUUUUUUGAAGUCAUUGUAUUAAAGUGGUUGAGAAAAAAGGGUUAUAACACUCAAGUGAGUAUCAUAUGAAAAUUAUGACACUUGUGAUGUCCUUGUCACUACUCAAAAUUCACUAGCAUGACCAAGUUGAGCUUGACCCUUUGGAAAUUGGUAAAAGUGUUAGAAAAGUCCUAAAUUUAUUGUGUUUGUGCUAAUUUAGUUAUAAACCUUUUGUUAAGACUCGAUUUUUAGUCAAUGUGUCAAAAAAGGUAAAAAAAAAAUCUAGAUUAGGACUUCCGAUUGCGACAGAGCCUAUUUCUUGACUAAAAAAAGUGUUGUUUUUCAGUUAUUUCUUUUCCAUUGUCACUUUUAAGCAGUUUCUUAUUCAUUUCUAAGAAAAAUCCAAAAAGUCAAACGAUUGAUUUGAUCAAAAAGUUAACCGCCGGUCAAAAAAUUGAUUUUUCACCCAAAAAGAUGUCAAAUAUCUUUAAUUUCACUUUUAUCAAAUCAAUUUUUCAAAAAAUCAAAGAUUUGACAACAGUUUAGGAAAAGUCAACUAAAUCAAUUCUUCGACCAAAAAAUUGGGAAAAUGAAAAACCCAUAAGACACUUUGUUUUAGUGUCAAUUUGACUUCUAUGUUGAAAAUUUCACAAAUUCGAUUAAGAACCUUGUUUUCCAAAUUCUUCAGUUUUAAGUUUUAAAUCGACCAAAAAUAAAAUUACUUAUGUUUUAGUCAUAAUUAGGUGUAGUUCAUUUUACGAGAUUUGGUCUAGGGACUAUUUCUAAUCCACUCGUUCAUUCAAUUUUGGGAUUUGUCAUUUUACUUAAGUCUCGUUACCUCCAUUCAAAGUCAAUUUUAAUGCAAUGGACUAUCCUAGGCAUGGAUAAUCAUUCAAUUACGUCAAUAGAAAACCAAUAGAUUGCAUUUAUGAGGUUUAAUUGGCUUAAUUUGAUCAAAAUCGGACAAUUUCUCCUCAAAUUGGACAAGUUUUCUCUUCAAGAGACCAAAUUACAUAAAUUUUGAACCCACAAGAACUACGUGGCUAAGAACCGCCCAAAACCAAUCAAGAAUCAGUCAAACUGGUGUGAACCAGUUUGAGCGAUCUGACCGACUACUGGCGAGGCAAGUUGAUUCCAGGACCCUUGCUGCAUGUAUUUUGCUCUCAUGUCCUCACAUUGUCAUGAUUUUGUAGAUCAACCUCCAGAUUUUGAAAAUUUGGCCCUUUAGUGCUAUUCUCGUUUUAAAUCCCAAUUUUUGCAAAUCAGACCCAUCCGAUCGGUCAUACGACACAUCUUAAGUGUAAUUAGCCUUUUAAAGGUUCAAUUUGGCUAUUAAAUCAAGUUUUUGACCGUUGGAUUGAACCAACAGCAAAGAUUCGCCAAUUUGGGAAAUGUAUAAAAGGGAUCUUCUCUCCAUUUUUGAGGGAGGGGUUCAUUUUGCACCAAUUCAGAUCUAACAAACUCUCUCUCUCUUGGACCUGAGUAGGUCUUUAAACUGCUUAAGGGAGAAACAGGCGGAGGGACCCGCCCUGGGGUGGGAGACCCUGCAUGUCUGUCUUCCGUAAAGGCAGGGUUAAGGCCUUGAAAAAGAUUCUUAACCCCAUUGCUGGACCGGCCACAAUCCCUUUAAGGGAAAAUCAGCCAGUACGCCCGAUCCCGGUGAAGCCUUCCCCAAGUAACCAAUCCACGGGCGUGGUUCAAGGAAAUGAUGGUGCAAGGAUGAAACCUGGGUGGCUAAUCUCUCUCGCCAUCUCUCUCUCUCCUCUACCUCAACCUUGCGCGCAUGACACCCCUACCAUUGCGCCUUGCUGCCAAUCGUUGAACCUCCAUCAGCGAUGAUCCAAACUCAGUGAUGGGUCUCGACCUUCUCCUAUCCCCGAGAAAAGUGAAAUUAUAGGGGGAAAAAUCUUCUUGAUCAUAUUUUUAUAUGAGAUGUGAAUUGGCCAAAGUGACUUUUGACACCAAACCCAUUCAACUUAAUGAAGUGAUUCUUUUCUUUUCCAAAAGAGCUUUGUGAAGACAAGAGUAAAGAGAAAUCUCUUGAUAAUAUGUUAUCAUAAAAAUAAUUUUUGCACAUUAAAUGCAUUUGAAUUUAAUGAGUCUGGAGGGAAGUGAACACAUAUACAUACAUACAUACAUAUAUAUAUAUAUAUAUAUAUAUAUAUAUAUAUAUAUAUUACGUGAUAUUUCCUUCCAUUUAUAUGUUAUUAUGAUUAUUGUUGCUGCUUUAACUCGAAAAGUAUUAUACAAUUGAAUGUGCAAGAGUAGAGGGAGAAUUUUCACUUUCUAAAUCCAUUAUAUUAUUAUUCACGUUUCUGUUUUGCAAAUGGUUUAUCUUUAGUGAUGCAAAUGAAUUAACUUAAUUAACAGAAUUAACACAUUUUCCAUACAACAAAAGAAAAAGAAGAAGCAACAAACUGUAGAAGAAGGAAUUUCACCAUAUGAAACUUUUGAAGGUCACAGAUGCCAAUCCUUUAUUUUCUAUCCGUUAAACACUCCGGACCCUAAAUAAAUAAGAUGCAUUGCUUUGUGCAUUUUGCUUUGUUAGGGAAGUCCCUUAUGAUGUUUUGAAGAUGACAAAAUAAAUCAAAGACUACUAACAUGUUUAAUGGUUGAGUAAUAGACUAUACAGAUGAUAAAACAUGUAAAGAAUACUGUCAAAAUUUAUACUUGAAAGAACCAAAAGAUUUCUCUAUGUUGAAGCUGAAUUUAUUCAAACUGUGUCCAGACCUUAAGGUUAAAUAUAUUCAGAAGUAGAAUAUGUUCAGACUUACGUUUAGAUUGUAAAGUCUAUUUCAGACAAAAGACACUCAGACUCUACUUCAGAUGGAAGACAUUCAGACCUUACUUCAGACGGAACACUCUCAGACUUUAUAUCCAGAAUGAGACAUAAGUCCAGAACGUGACAAGGUCCAGAACGAGACAUAAGUUCAGAACGUAACAGAUUCAUAAUGAAAUAUGUUCAAAAUGAGACAACUUAACAGAACAUAACACAAGCCCCAAAUAUAUAAUGGCUGGUGAUCUAAUUUGGAUUCUACAUCAAUAUAGAUUUGAUUAACUCAAUCUAAUUUAUUGACAAAUGGUUAUUAAAGACAAGAAAUUUCUAUAUGAAGAAGCUCUACUUAUGGAAACCAAGAGUCUAUUUGUAUCGGCAAUCAGAAUCAAUUUGGGAUUCUACUUAUGUCACUCAACGAUUACUAAAUCUUCUAGAUACAAAUCUAUUCAAUGGGUAGAUUGGAAAAUGAUCCUCUAGAUACUGUCUAACGGUUAGUUUGGAAGUAGAGGAAUAUUUAAUGAGAUCAAGGAUCGAUGAGCAAGUAAGAGACGGAGCGUAAAAUUAAUAAUUCCAAAAUUUGAGCGAAUUUCGAUCAUAUACUUGUCUUUCAUGAGCUUAAACAUUUGUGAUCGUGAGAGAAAUACCAAAAGAGUGACUUAGUGAGAUAGUGCGAUCUACCACUAAGUGUUUAUACUCAAAGUUAUAAUCUUUUGUUGAUUACAUAGUGAAAUCUAGUCAGAAGGCUGUUAGUGUGGGAGAGUGAACGUAAACUUGAUUUAAGCCGAACCAUUAUAAUUUUCGUGUUGCAACAUUCUCUUUCCUUAACUAUUAAUAUUUAAGUAUAUUACAUACUUACGAGUUAUUUCAGAAGUCUGUUUCAUCGCAUAAUAGAUUCUAAAUAUCUACUAGAAGUCUAGUGGCUCAUUUGUCAGACUCUGAUUCUUAUUCAAACUUUACUCACAACUUAUUUUAUUCCGCAUUUAUCUGUCAAGAUUUCUUUUAAAUAUCUAUUCACCCCCCUUUAAGUGUUCGUACUAGCACUUUCAUGCUUUGUUUAGAUAGCCUAACGAAUUACCUCUAAAAAAAAUGAGGACAGGAUUGUCUACGAAGAGACUUUUGUAGAUCCAUUGCUUAUUCUCCAUCUUCAUGAAGCUCCAUCAUAGCGCCGUAAGAUUGCUCUUGUUGACAAUUGAUUAUCCUUAAAACUAUGUGUGCUUUAAAAGCACUCGAUUGUCAAAGCAUCUCUCCACAUUUUUAUAAUAUAAUGCAAGAAAACAAUAAUGGAUUUUGCAUUUAAAUCAAUAUGAAAUCAUCAAAAAAAUAAACUAAAAAUAAUUAAGAGUGCUUUCCAUACCUAAAUUAAGCUCAAGUAAAUCCACAUAUAUUAUCUCAUAAUCUCCUACAGAAAAUUCACCUAGAAAACUCAAAUAGAGAAAAUAUUAUGAUGCUUUCUUAUUUGCUCUAUGUACGGCUGGUCGGCAAGAGGGACCCACAAAGUCUUUUCUUCUGUGCUUCGUACGGCGGAUCUUCUUACUCUUGUACGGCUUUUCAGCAAGAGGGACCCACAAAGUCUUCUUUUUUGCCCUUUUAUGCACGCGGCUACUCAGUCAAGAAGAAAUAAUAAACAAAAACCCUCGCCUUCGCACUCUCUCUCUCCCCCACGAUGGCCUUUUUGCCCCCACAAGUGAAAUAAAUACGUGCCCUUGUUUAAUCUUGUAUGAGAGAGCUCUUUGCGAUCAAAAUUGAUGACUUAUCAAAAAUCAGAUUGGCUUUCAUAUACGGCUCAAACUCAAAAUAUUAAUUUAACAAUUUGUAAGAUACUAAUUAAAUCAUAUGUCUUUUCAAAACUUGGAAUUUCUCAAGAUAAAACUGUAAUAAGUUUUUGUUUUACUAUACAUUGAGUUCGAUCGAACUUGUUUAACCUAUUUAUAUACUGAAUAGUAUAGAAAAGAAAGGGAGAGCAAAAUAGCUAUUCUUCAAAAAAA